rnacentral:ncRNA from 2 species
CUGGUGUUUGGAAGACAGUCUUUUUAAGAAUUAUAAAGGAUAUUUCUGAAACUGUGUCUCAUGAUUUUUGAACUACUCUGCUUUUUAUAGGGGUAUGUUUCUGUCAGCUUCUGUUGCUUUAAAAGCUAAGGAGAGAGUAGAGAAACAUGCUUCUUGGCAGUAACUCAGCUCCUAAAUUCUAGCCUAAGGCAGGCUCCGUAGGUCACACUCUUCCUGAAUGUUAGGGCUUCUGUCCCCUCCUUUUCCGCUGCUUAACCAGUAGUAUGUCUUGUGUGCAGGUGGUCUGGAUAAAAGGACAUGGUCAUAAGAGAAUUGUAGUGUUAAAAAAUGACAUGAAAAGUCGUUUGAGUUCACUCAGUCUCUCCCCUGCCAAUCAUGAAAACCAGCCCUCGGAGGGCGAGCGCAUCCUGGAGGUGCCCGAAUCGCACACAGCCUCGGAACUCAAGCUUGGAGCUGACGGCAGUGGGCCCAGUCACACAGAGCAGGAGCUUCUCCGCCUGACCGACGACUCCCCCGUCGACCUCCUGUGUGCGCCUGUCCCCUCGUGCCUGCCGUCCCCUCAGCUGAG